rnacentral:rRNA from 1 species
UACGUAGGGUGCAAGCGUUGUCCGGAAUUAUUGGGCGUAAAGAGCUCGUAGGCGGCUUGUCGCGUCUGUUGUGAAAGCCCGGGGCUUAACCCCGGGUCUGCAGUGGAUACGGGCAGGCUAGAGGCAGGUAGGGGAGAACGGAAUUCCCGGUGUAGCGGUGAAAUGCGCAGAUAUCGGGAGGAACACCGGUGGCGAAGGCGGUUCUCUGGGCCUGUACUGACGCUGAGGAGCGAAAGCGUGGGGAGCGAACAGG